rnacentral:rRNA from 1 species
CCUACGGGUCGCAGCAGUGGGGAAUAUUGCACAAUGGGCGCAAGCCUGAUGCAGCCAUGCCGCGGGUAUGAGGAAGGCCUUCGGGUUGUAAAGUACUUUCAGCGGGGAGGAAGGUGUUGUGGUUAAUAACCACAGCAAUUGACGUUACCCGCAGAAGAAGCACCGGCUAACUCCGUGCCAGCAGCCGCGGUAAUACGGAGGGUGCAAGCGCUAAUCGAAAUUACUGGGCGUAAAGCGCACGCAGGCGGUCUGUCAAGUCGGAUGUGAAAUCCCCGGGCUCAACCUGGGAACUGCAUUCGAAACUGGCAGGCUAGAGUCUUGUAGAGGGGGGUAGAAUUCCAGGUGUGGCGGUGAAAUGCGUAGAGAUCUGGAGGAAUACCGGUGGCGAAGGCGGCCCCCUGGACAAAGACUGACGCUCAGGUGCGAAAGCGUGGGGAGCAAACAGGAUUAGAUACCCCCGUAGUC